UUUAAAAUAAUUGUUACAUUAUAGAUUUGAUUUAUAUUUUUAUUUAAUUUAAAUUAAUAUGAGUUAUAAUUAUAUUUUAUUUGUGUAGAAAUUGUACAACUUUCUAAUUGAAAAUGCAAAAGUUCUGUUCAUUUUGACUAUCCAAAUGCAGCACGGAUUUUUAACCCCGAAUGCUCUUAAUCUAUUAGCACGACUUUAUAAUUCGAACAAAAAUAGAUAAUUUUCUGUUAAAAAUUCCUCCACAACAAAAACUUUGUACUUUACAUAUUUCAAGUGCAAAGUUUCAAGCGUUAACAAAGGAAAUAACAGAAACGUUUCCUGGUGAAAAAGAAGCCACAUAUUACGAACCGUUCAUGGUAUUAAAUGAUAAAUAAAUUAAUGCGAGUGGCAAAUUAUGGUAUCAAUAUAAUUAUAGAAAAGCUUUUCAACGAUUUUGUUUGUGUUUGUAUCGAAUCCCUCACACGUUGGAGUAUGGGCUCCAAGGCGUUUUCUCCUCCUCGGUUGUUCAGUUCGGGCAGCCUUGUGCAGAACGCAAUAUGCAUCUAAUCAGCACUGGCCGAUCAAGGAUGGUCUCGUCUGUCCUGGAUGUGGACAUAGCAAAGAUUUUCCUCUUCUUUGGUAAACAAAAAAAAAAACAAUC